UUUCCGUAGGUGAACCUGCGGAAGGAUCAUUAAACAUCGGUUGGGGGGAAACCCCCAGCGUCUGAAUCCCCUGAUUACUAUAAUCUUUGUUGCUUUGGCAGGCCGGGUCUCUGUGCCCCGGCGGUCAGGUGUUAGCCCGCCUGCCGAGUGUCUGUCGAAGGCCCAACCAAAACCCUUUAAACCAUGUCGUCUGAAUAAAAACUAAAUAAGCAAAAACUUUCAACAACGGAUCUCUUGGCUCUGGCAUCGAUGAAGAACGCAGC
rnacentral:misc_RNA from 1 species